CGCGCGGAGCCGACCACGUGCACGGCAUCUUGGGGCACGGGUUCCCGCCGUCUCCCCACUGUAAAGGAGCGGCUUACUCCAGAGGUCCAGCCCCCUCACACACAAUCACGGAACCCGUGGAUGAGGCAGUAUUUGAGACCAGAAGUUUAUUGGGGACUUGGGUUUGGUUUUUGUUUGGUUGGUUUUGUCGUUGUUUUUAGAGUCGGGGGUUUCGCUGUGUUGCCCAGGCUGCUAUCGGACUCCUGACCUCAAGCGAUCCUCUUGCUUGGCCUCCCAAAGUGUUGGGAUUACAGGCGUGAGCCACCGCACCUGGCCGGGGACUUGUUUCUAAUGGAAAAUUGUGUAUGUGCUGUAUUGUUAAGAGCAUUGGUUUGGGGUCAGACUAGGCUGUGAUUCGGGUCUCUCCACUUCUUAUUAUCGUCUUUGGUAAAUUAUUUAACCUCUUUGUGCCUUCGUUUUCUGUAAAAAGCAGAUAAUUAUAGCUACUUCAUGAGGUCGUGUGAAGAUUUAAUGAGAUAGUGUGUGUGAAAUGUUCACAGCUACCAGACACAUACUCACUCGUGUUCCCAAUUGCUAUACUCACAAGGGCUCACUCCCAUCGCCAUCCUUCGUAAUUUCAAAGGGUCUACGGUUAAAAAUGCAGGGUCUUACUAUGUUUCCCCAGCUAGUCUCAAACUCCUACACUCAAGUGAUCCUCCCACUUCAGCCUCCCAAAGUGCUGGGAUUACACGUGCAAGCCACCAUGCCUGGCCCAUUUCUAUAAGUAGAUGUGCUGAGUCAGAAUGUACAUGCUUGUUUGUUUGUUUGUUUGUUUGUUUGUUUGUUUUUGAGAUGGGG
rnacentral:lncRNA from 10 species